GGGGGAGCAAGCGUUGUUCGGAUUUACUGGGCGUAAAGGGCGCGUAGGCGGCGCAACAAGUCACUUGUGAAAUCUCCGGGCUUAACUCGGAGCGGCCAAGUGAUACUGUCGUGCUAGAGUGCGGAAGGGGCAACUGGAAUUCUCGGUGUAGCGGUGAAAUGCGUAGAUAUCGAGAGGAACGCCUGCGGCGAAGGCGGGUUGCUGGGCCGACACUGACGCUGAGGCGCGAAAGCCAGGGGAGCGAACGGGAUUAGAUACCCCGGUAGUCCUGGCCUUAAACGAUGGAUGCUUGGUGUCCGGGGUUACAUAGUCCCCGGGUGCCGUCGCUAACGCCUUAAGCAUCCCGCCUGGGGAGUACGCACGCAAGUGUG
rnacentral:rRNA from 1 species